UUUCAUAAUUAUUGUUGAUCUUCGAUAUCUUUGUAAACGUACUGUAUUGAAAAGGUGCAUGUUGUAAGCAGUAUUUACAUACUAGCUUUUUGUACCGUCCAUUUCAAUCUUCUUUCAACAGUACGUUGUUUAUCUUUAUAUUCAUAAUUGUGUUUGUAUUUAAAUCCCAUACUUUCGCAAAGAAGUUUGCAAUACUUCCUGCCCAAGGGAACCGUCAUUACUAGCUACUAUGAACAGUCUAUACCAAGAGUGCACAGUUUAAAGAAUCAGUUUGAUCCUGGAAGACAUUGACACCUCACUCGAUAAAUACUCUUUCAAGAACUUCAAGAGAUUGCAGAUGGAUAUUCGAGUGUGAAUUUAUACAUUUAUUGGAUUUAACCAGGAACAAUUGCGAACAUCGUCCCUCUGGGACUAACAGUUUUAUACUUGUUUAAUUUAACAUUUUAUUGCUGCCUGACAAGAACUUAAUAUGUAUGAAACUUCUUGUAUAUGAAUUUGUUCAUGCACUUUACAUAAAUUGCCUUCAAAGACAUGCUACUAUAAUUGGGUGCCUCUUUUUAAAAUUUUGCUGCAGAAGACUUUCUUUAUUAAAACACUUCACUUGAUUAUUCGUAUAUAUUGACGAACUUUUUAAUUCAAUCAUUUCUGUUCAUCAUAAACGUAGAAAACUUUGUAACUGGUUAUAAUUGGGAUUUCGUUAAAGUAGGGGUUUAGGUUAGGACUUAAGUAGGUUUAGGUUUAGGGGAGGGGGGUAAAGGGUUAGAAAUGACUGGGAUGAUGUACAGAAUUGAGCACCUGUACAUUCUUGAAAUGUCCCAUAUAGUCUCCCGUGUCUAACCAAACUCCUUUUUGGAAAGGUGUGUUGUGGAAAGGCG